GAACUUAUAUUUUAAUUUAGAAUUGUUCUUUUACAAAGAAUAGGUUUUAAGUUCU
rnacentral:tRNA from 1 species